rnacentral:rRNA from 1 species
UGGAGGGCAAGUCUGGUGCCAGCAGCCGCGGUAAUUCCAGCUCCAAUAGCGUAUAUUAAAGUUGUUGCAGUUAAAAAGCUCGUAGUUGAAUUUCGGGGUUCUACCGUUGGUCGGGCUAACCAGUCUGUACUAGCGUGUAGAAUUCCUACCUUCUGGAGAACCAUCAUGUUAUUAAUUUAGCGUGGUGGGAAACCAGGACCUUUACCUUGAAAAAAUUAGAGUGUUCAAAGCAGGCUUACGUCUGAAUACAUUAGCAUGGAAUAAUAGAAUAGGACGGUGGUCCUGUUUUGUUGGUUUCUGAAUCACCGUAAUGAUUAAUAGGGAUAGUUGGGGGCAUUAGUAUUCAAUUGUCAGAGGUGAAAUUCUUGGAUUUAUUGAAGACUAACUUCUGCGAAAGCAUUUGCCAAGGAUGUUUUCAUUAAUCAAGAACGAAAGUUAGGGGAUCGAAGACGAUCAGAUACCGUCGUAGUCUUAACCAUAAA